rnacentral:lncRNA from 1 species
CUAGGAUUUGAGUCCGACGUUCAGUUUUUCGAUCAUUUACAACUCAGGAUUGAGUGUUUGAAUGAUCGUUAUCGACAUUUUCAUAUUGAGGAUGAUGCACCAGAGGAGAUGGUGCAGCAGUAUGUUAGGGGUUAGGUGGUGUCCUAUUACCCAAUACUUCAUCGAAUAAGAUGAAGUUGAUGUUUUUGCCAUUAGAGGAUUUAGAUUUCGCUCGUAG